AGGUUACUGCUAUCGGUGUUCGAUUAAGCCAUGCGAGUUAAAUGUUCUUCGUGAACAUAGCGAACUGCUCAGUAACACGUGGACAAUCUGCCCUUGGGUUCGGCAUAACUCCGGGAAACUGGAGAUAAUACCGAAUAGACCAUUGAAGCUGGAAUGCUCUUUGGUCCAAAGUUCCGGCGCCCAAGGAUGAGUCUGCGGCCUAUCAGGUUGUAGUGGGUGUAACGUACCUACUAGCCUACGACGGGUACGGGUUGUGAGAGCAAGAGCCCGGAGAUGGAUUCUGAGACAUGAAUCCAGGCCCUACGGGGCGCAGCAGGCGCGAAAACUUUACAAUGCGGGAAACCGCGAUAAGGGGACACCGAGUGCCAGCAUACUAUGUUGGCUGUCCACAUGUGUAAAUAGCAUGUGUUAGCAAGGGCCGGGCAAGACCGGUGCCAGCCGCCGCGGUAACACCGGCGGCCCGAGUGGUAAUCACUAUUAUUGGGUCUAAAGGGUCCGUAGCCGGUUUAAUCAGUCUUCCGGGAAAUCUGACAGCUCAACUGUUAGGCUUCCGGGGGAUACUGUUAGACUUGGGACCGGGAGAGGUAAGAGGUACUACAGGGGUAGGAGUGAAAUCUUGUAAUCCCUGUGGGACCACCAGUGGCGAAGGCGUCUUACCAGAACGGGUCCGACGGUGAGGGACGAAAGCUGGGGGCACGAACCGGAUUAGAUACCCGGGUAGUCCCAGCCGUAAACGAUGCUCGCUAGGUGUCUGGAAUGGUGCGACCGUUUCAGGUGCCGCAGGGAAGCCGUGAAGCGAGCCACCUGGGAAGUACGGCCGCAAGGCUGAAACUUAAAGGAAUUGGCGGGGGAGCACCACAACAGGUGGAGCCUGCGGUUUAAUUGGAUUCAACGCCGGAA
rnacentral:rRNA from 1 species